UAACAGCAGUGCUGCCGGGCGCAGGACAGGACGAUGCACUUUGGCAACGUGCUGUAAUUCCUUCCCAGAGCCUGCAAGAUACAAGUCUACUUGGGGGAUGAGGAGGAACCAGAGAGGAAGACGCACCGACACUUGACACUGAAGUGCCGCACGGCCAGAAGGAGGACGUCAAGUGGCUGCUCCGAUUUAAAAAUAUCGCCCAAUUCCUCACAAGACCUCCUCUCUGAUUUCUGCGCUGGCCCCUCGGCUUGCUGUUAGGGAAAGGAGGGUGAAACAGUAAUAGAAAGAAUAGAAAGAGGGGACCUUGAGAAGGCGGGCAGCCUGGGAAAGACCUGCCCUGGGGUGUGAGGACUUCACGCGGGACUCCGCUUCCUCGUUGCCCGGCAACAGCUGCAGGCCAAGGUUCUACGAAGGCCCAGGGGGCAGGCGGAAGCGCGCUCCUCCCAUCAGGGCGCCUGACAUCAUUGCACAUCCUUGCAACGUCGCCACGUUCCGAGUAGGAGGGCAGUCUUAGGCGAGUCGAUAUUAGGAGAGAACCGUCUCGGUGCUCUCCAGAGGAAACAGGAAGAGAGAAGCAAACGGAGGGAAGGGAGACGGGAAGGAUCUAGCGGGAUGGGAAGCUGGCGGGAGAAAGACCGGCUUUGGUUACCUGGGGAGCGUGAGCAGCUUCGGGUCCUUUAUGAAGUGCCCGGAUGAAGCUCCAGCACCCACGCGCCUUCCGUAUUGAGCGCAUCGCCAUCUUGAGAGGGGCGGAGCCGUCUUGGCUUGUGUGACGUCUGCUCAGAGAGCCAGUCCCAGCUGCCUUGCUUGCUGCGCAUGCGCGCAUGUAUCCGGGCGUGCCGCGGUGCCGCUGCUUUCGGGACUCGGGUGUUUGCAGAGCAGGUGGGGACAGGAACGGGGUGGGGCUUGUCGUUAGUGUUUCCGCUAGAGUUUAGUCUUUGUGUAGGCUUCACGGUGGGAGAAUUUCCUCCCGGGACAGUAGUAGCAGCGUUUUAGACUGGAAGAAAGCCCAUAAAUUGCCUUUCGGAUCCUAGCCAUCCAGAGGCAUCUUUUAAGAAGUUUCUCUCGGAAUGGGGCCUUCCCAAUCCUGUUAGAGCGCAAUGCCAUACUUUUAGAAGAUGUCCUUACUGUGGAAUGAGAUGGCCAACCGUCAUAUGUAUGCUGCAACUCAGAGAUACAGCUGUGAAUUCUCAGAAUACGGUACUGAUGGCCCUGUCGUCCAAUGCAUCCAAUGUCUGAUUUUCAUCUUGGCCAGCUUUCUACUAUGCCUUAGACAAAACUCAACCAUUCUCUUCCAUGAUGUAGAAUGGCUACUGAAAAGGAAGAAGAAAAGAAAGCUUUCAGAGGACAGUGGUAAACAAAUGCAUUAUGAUUUACUUAACAGGGAACUGUAAGUUUUUUAUGUCCAAGAACAUCGAACUUGCUUUUUUAAAAUACUUUCUAAAAAUUUUCUUUUCUUUUGUUUCUUUUUUCCCCCCCAGAAGAGCUAUAGA